AGGGAUUCUCUGGGUUUUGAAUCUGAUUAUCCUGUAAGGUAUUUACCAUCCUGAUUUUACAGAGUUUGGCGCAAUGAGCAGGGUGUGAUCGGGAAUCCUCAGAGAGUUUCUCACAACCAGGAAUAGAAGUUUCCCUCUGUUUGGGCAGAGAACAAGCUGUCUUGCAGUUUGGUGCCUGCUCAUCUCUCCCCAACCAUCCAGGUUACCAGUCAACUCCCUCCACCUACCAAGCAAUACCCUCUCAAACCGGAGGCCAUGGACAUGGUAACAAAUGUGGCUCCUCACAUUAAUCCUCUUGGUAAAUAUACCUGAUGCAGCCUCCUGGGACCCGCCUUUGGUAAAUGUCACAUGAUACACUUGCUUCAAGCUGGCCAGUAUGUGCAACUCCCUACAGGAGGCAGCGAUGAAUGCGUAAAGAAACCAGACACUUGGCUUACUCCCAGACCAAAUUACCUGGGACCUAUCAUGGUUACAGUUCACCUCCAAAAACAUCCAGGCUCCAAGGUCCCAAUCUGACUACCACAGCCCGGGAGCAAUCUUUGGUUCCCUCCCUACAUCUUACCAGAUCUGGACAGUAACUGGGUAUUUAGCUUCAGGGGAUGUGGGCACACACACAUAUAGGACCCCCAGUUUCGGGAUGCAAGAUCACAGAUGGUUGGGAAAAGGACCAAAGGACAGGUCAAUUUAAGGAUACCCCCUUAGAACAAACGAACUAUUCUAUUUCCAGGGCCUCAGAUGGAUCAGCUGAGAUUCAUAACAUUUAUGAGGCCGCUAAUGGAUUGGGAGAGUAUAGGUGUGAACGUAUGUGGGAGAAUUGGGCAGUUUUCAUUAACCCAACAGUGUUUGUAGAUGCAGGAUGGAUGGAUGUUCCUCUCUGCUGUGGGAACCUGGGAUGGAGGGACAUUAUUAUCAGGAACACUGUGUAUACUCAGUUAAAUGUUUAUAUUGUACUGAUAUACGAUGUUAUAACCUGACCAGUUGUGGAUACUCCCUGCCUGCUAUCUGUCCGGCACUGUACCCUACCCCACUGGACGGCAUUAUUCAAGUAGGCCCCAACAAAACACUUUUGCAUGAUACCUUUAUGGUUAAACCUUUCAGGUUAAAUAUGAUUUGUCCAAUUUUUUGGCACCAUUGUGAAAUGUAUGCUCAGACCAUCCCAGCUCCAUGCAAUGGCUGCAGGACCAGCUACAGUUUCUAAUGCACCAGUAUGUUAUUCAGGCCCGCACAGCCAAAAGACAAAAACGUGGCAUCUUAAGUGGUAUAGGAGGAUUCUUUGGAAGCACCAGUUCUAUACUAAAUAUGCUUAACCUAAACUCUGAAAGGUCAUACAAUUCUUGGGUCAAAUGCCAAACCACCCAAGCCCUUAGACAUACUAACACAAGUUUAUCCUAUGCUCUGACUGCAAUUGAUGUAGCAAUAGAGGAUUUUUACCAAAUCAUUGAAGAGACCUCAGACGCUAUAGUCAACCUGGCCAAGUCACAAGCUAAGGCCAUGCUUGUGAUAUAUUAACUUGUGAUCUAUUUAAUAUUGCAAAAGAUGACAUGCUAGAUGUAUGCCUAGGUUUCCCCCCUUCCCAUACCCUUUCUUCCCCUACCCUUUUCUGCACUGCAAAGGUUUCC